UUUGCCCUACGGGGGGCAGCAGUGGGGAAUAUUGCACAAUGGGGGAAACCCUGAUGCAGCGACGCCGCGUGAGUGAAGAAGUAUUUCGGUAUGUAAAGCUCUAUCAGCAGGGAAGAUAAUGACGGUACCUGACUAAGAAGCCCCGGCUAACUACGUGCCAGCAGCCGCGGUAAUACGUAGGGGGCAAGCGUUAUCCGGAUUUACUGGGUGUAAAGGGGGCGUAGACGGCAAUGCAAGCCAGAUGUGAAAGCCCGGGGCUCAACCCCGGGACUGCAUUUGGAACUGUGUAGCUGGAGUGUCGGAGG
rnacentral:rRNA from 1 species